ACAUAGACGGAAGGCGGUGCCGGGAGCGGGGGGAGGUGGGUCGGGAACACGUGGGUUGGGGGUCCACAGACCCCGGCCUGUCGCAGGCCUACUAUACCCGACGGGCACUCCCAGUAGUACUGGAGGGGAACGCUGCGGCGCAAUUCCCUGGGAGUAUGUGACUCAAGGGACUUAUAAAUAGAGGUGGAAGCCAGUGCUGGAAAAUGGAGAGGAGGAGACCGAGUCACUCUGACGCUCCUCGGUUACUUGAUCCGGCCCGGGGAAGGGGCUGUUUGGAAAGAAACCGUCAGCACCACCCAAAGAAGAGGAGACUGGGCUUAGCGCCACUCAGAAAUAAAGGACCACCAGUAAGCAACCUAGAAAACUACAUACCAUGGACAGUGCUCCGAGGACUUGCACGGGAAGCUGACCUUGGCAUCAAUCCAUUCUUUUGCUUUUCUACUCUUACAAUUGGGCUCCUGACUACCGCUGGAGGAAGUCACAAACCAACCCCAAAACUGGAAGAAUCACUACCAGCUCCGAAGUAA
rnacentral:lncRNA from 1 species